rnacentral:rRNA from 1 species
GACGAACGCUGGCGGCGCGCUUAACACAUGCAAGUCGAACGGAAAGGCCUGCUUUCCCUUGUGGAUUGCGGGUACUCGAGUGGCGAACGGGUGAGUAACACGUGAGUGAUCUGCCCCCAACUUGGGUAUAAGCCUGGGAAACUGGGUCUAAUUCCCGAUAGGACUGCAGGGUGGUGCCUGUGGUGGAAAACGAUUUUCUAGUGGUUGGGGAUGAGCUCGCGGCCUAUCAGCUUGUUGGUGGGGUAAUGGCCUAUCAAGGCGGCGACGGGUAGCCGGCCUGAGAGGGUGGACGGCCACAUUGGGACUGAGAGACGGCCCAGACUCCUACGGGAGGCAGCAGUGGGGAAUAUUGCACAAUGGGCGGAAGCCUGAUGCAGCGACGCCGCGUGGGGGAUGACGGCCUUCGGGUUGUAAACUCCUUUCGACCGCGAGGAAGCCACCUGGUUGGAAGGGUGGUGACGGUAGUGGUAGAAGAAGCACCGGCUAACUACGUG